rnacentral:rRNA from 1 species
CCUACGGGGGGCAGCAGUGAGGAAUAUUGGUCAAUGGGCGCGAGCCUGAACCAGCCAAGUCGCGUGAGGGAAGACGGUCCUAUGGAUUGUAAACCUCUUUUGUCGGGGAGCAAAAGACGCCACGCGUGGCGUUCCGAGAGUACCCGAAGAAAAAGCAUCGGCUAACUCCGUGCCAGCAGCGGCGGUAAUACGGAGGAUGCCAGGGUUAUCCGGAUUUAUUGGGUUAAAAGGGGGUGUAGGCGGAAGUUCAAGUCCACGGUAAAAUUGAGGGGCUCAACCCCUUCGAGCCGUUGAAACUGGUUUUCUUGAGUGAGUGAGAGGUAUGCGGAAUGCGUAGUGUAGCGGUGAAAUGCAUAGAUAUCACGCAGAACUCCGAUUGCGAAGGCAGCAUACCGGCGCCCGACUGACGCUGAGGCACGAAAGCGUGGGGAUCGAACAGGAUUAGAUACCCCUGUAGUC